rnacentral:rRNA from 1 species
CCUACGGGUGGCAGCAGUGAGGAAUAUUGGUCAAUGGGCGCGAGCCUGAACCAGCCAAGUAGCGUGAAGGAUGACUGCCCUACGGGUUGUAAACUUCUUUUAUAAAGGAAUAAAGUGAGGCACGUGUGCCUUUUUGUAUGUACUUUAUGAAUAAGGAUCGGCUACUUCCGUGCAGCAGCCCCGGUUAUAAGGGGGAUUCGGGCGGUUUUCGGAUUUAUUGGGUUUAAAGGGAGCGUAGAUGGGUUGUUAAGUCCGUUGUGAAAGUUUGCGGCUCAAACGUAAAAUUGCAAUUGAUACUGGCAGUCUUGAGUACAGUUGAGGUAGGCGGAAUUCGUGGUGUAGCGGUGAAAUGCUUAGAUAUCACGAAGAACUCCGAUUGCGAAGGCAGCUUACUAAACUGCCACUGACAUUGAUGCUCGAAAGUGUGGGUAUCAAACAGGAUUAGAUACCCGUGUAGUC